GGUGCCAGUUUGACUGCUCAGCAGUGUCACCUCUGCCCGCCACACCCCUCCUCACCGGGGAGGGAUCUGGUAUUUAACAGGUGCCCGACAGCCCGGUUAGAGCCGUGCCAAGGACGGUGAUCAAGAGUGCUGCCAGCAUCGCCUCCUCUGGGAGCUUUUGGGCAGGUUUGCUCACAGACCACUGAAGAUGUGUGACCCCCACCACGGCAUGCCACAACCACACCAGCCAGUUUGCCCUCCUGCUCCAGGAUACCCUGGUCCUGGCACGGGUCCCUACCCUGGUGGCAUUGCAGUUUGCCCUCCUGCUCCUCCAGGAUACCCUAGUCCCGGCACAGCUCCCUGCCCUGGUGGCCCUGCAGUCUGCCCCUCGUUCCCCCCUCCACCUGGCCAUGGGCAUCACCCCCAUGGGCACCACCCCCAUGGGCACCCCUCAUGUGGCCAUAAUCCCCAUGGACACCCCCCUCCGGGACCACCAGGAGUGCAGGUGUGUCCCCCUGACUGCCAUCAGAAGCACCAUAAGAAGCACCAUAAGAAGCACCAUAAGAAGAAGCACUCCAAGCACCACGGAGGCAAGCACUCCAGUGGCUCAAGCAGCAGCUCAAGCAGCAGCUCUGACUCUGACUGAACAUUUGGCAUUUCCCACCUGCACAGUACUGAUCAGCAAAACAUGAAGCGAAACACCUUGUGGGAGUGCCGUGCCCUGCCCUGCGUGUUUUUCUGUUCCCCUUCCCUUUCCCUUACAGCAGUGUUUUGCCUGCUGACUGAUUUUCUCGGGUUUACUUUGUAAAUGAUUUGUCCUGGAAUCUCUUAAGUCACUGGACAGCAUCUCCAUCGUCUGUCUUUUGGGAGAGCCUGCUGAAAGUCAUCAUGUGCUUGU